UAAGUCAGAUGUGAAAGCCCGGGGCUCAACCUCGGAAUUGCAUUUGAAACUGGCUGACUAGAGUACUGUAGAGGGGGGUAGAAUUUCAGGUGUAGCGGUGAAAUGCGUAGAGAUCUGAAGGAAUACCGGUGGCGAAGGCGGCCCCCUGGACAGAUACUGACACUCAGAUGCGAAAGCGUGGGGAGCAAACAGGAUUAGAUACCCUGGUAGUCCACGCCGUAAACGAUGUCUACUUGGAGGUUGUGGCCUUGAGCCGUGGCUUUCGGAGCUAACGCGUUUAAGUAGACCGCCUGGGGAGUACGGUCGCAAGAUUAAAACUCAAAUGAAUUGACGGGGGCCCGCACAAGCGGUGGAGCAUGUGGUUUAAUUCGAUGCAACGCGAAGAACCUUACCUACUCUUGACAUCCAUAGAACUUAGCAGAGAUGCUUUGGUGCCUUCGGGAACUAUGAGACAGGUGCUGCAUGGCUGUCGUCAGCUCGUGUUGUGAAAUGUUGGGUUAAGUCCCGCAACGAGCGCAACCCUUAUCCUUGUUUGCCAGCGAGUAAUGUCGGGAACUCCAGGGAGACUGCCGGUGAUAAACCGGAGGAAGGUGGGGACGACGUCAGUCAUCAUGGCCCUUACGAGUAGGGCUACACACGUGCUACAUGGCGUAUACAGAGGGC
rnacentral:rRNA from 1 species